rnacentral:lncRNA from 1 species
GCUUGGGGCCCUUCAGCUUCCCUUCUGGACCUUCAAGGCUCACAUCUGGGACUUCAACAUCCACCUUGGGUCCUGAGACAACAACAUCAGCCUUGGGCAAGUUCACAUCCACUUCUGGGCCCUCUGCUUUGAAGCCAGGCAUGCUGAACUUGGGCAUUUUCAUCUUGGGCAUCUUCAGGUGCCAGUCUGGGCCAUGAACCUCCACAUCUGGUGCAUUAAUAUCAACUUUGGGGCCUUUGAUGUCAACAUCAGGAGCUUUUAUCUCUCCU